CCUACGGGAGGCAGCAGUGGGGAAUAUUGGACAAUGGGCGAAAGCCUGAUCCAGCCAUGCCGCGUGUGUGAAGAAGGCCUUCGGGUUGUAAAGCACUUUCAGUGGGGAAGAAAGCCUUGGGGCUAAUACCCUCGAGGAAGGACAUCACCCACAGAAGAAGCACCGGCUAACUCCGUGCCAGCAGCCGCGGUAAUACGGAGGGUGCGAGCGUUAAUCGGAAUUACUGGGCGUAAAGCGCGCGUAGGCGGUCUGAUAAGCCGGUUGUGAAAGCCCCGGGCUCAACCUGGGAACGGCAUCCGGAACUGUCAGGCUAGAGUGCAGGAGAGGAAGGUAGAAUUCCCGGUGUAGCGGUGAAAUGCGUAGAGAUCGGGAGGAAUACCAGUGGCGAAGGCGGCCUUCUGGACUGACACUGACGCUAAGGUGCGAAAGCGUGGGUAGCAAACAGGAUUAGAUACCCUAGUAGUC
rnacentral:rRNA from 1 species